AAAAAUUAAUUAUCUAUUAACGUGGAUUUGGACGACAAUAGGUUUUUAGUUUGUGAUGUUUCAUGUGAUGAUCAUUUUCAUGUUCAUCGUCUUUGAAUUGACAUGAGGAUAUCUAUGGAAAAGUAACUAAUCUGAAAGUAAGCCAACAUAUCGUUUGUCCUUUGUGUGCUAAAGAAAAGAUUUUCUUUUCGCAUCAUGAGGAAGUAUUACAUCAAUUAAAAAAUGUUAGGAAGUUGAUUACUUGUCAUGGAAAAGUAUACCAAUGGAAAUUAUUUGUUAAAGAAGUAUAAUUCUAAGGGUUUUAAGAAUAAAUUGGUUGAACCCAAAAUCUGGAGGAAGUACCUAUAUCCAUACACAGAAUAUGCCCAUUAAAAAUACUAGUCCAAAUUUG